UCCAGUGAUUAUUUAUUUCAAAAAAGAAGGCAUUCUCAAGCACAAAUCCUAUUGUAUUAUUUCGGAUGAUAUGAUCCAUGAUGUAAACAUGGUUUAUAAAAUUAUUGAGGUUGUUUGCAAUGAUAUAAAAACAAAUUUGCCUCAAAUAAAAAAUAUUGAAUACUUUUCAGAUGGGUGUGCAGGUCAAUAUAAGAAUUGCAAAAAUAUGUUAAAUCUUUGUGAAGAUUUUGGUUUUACUGCUAAAUAGAACUUUUUUGCAACUAGUCACGGUAAGCAACCUUGUGAUGGGAUAGGUGGUACAGUCAAACGUCUGGCAACACUAGCAAGUUUGCAAAGAGAUAUGGGUAGGCACUAAGCUAUGCAGUGUUGAUGAAGAAUUUGCUUUAAUUCAUGACUUUGGAAAUAUCCAGAUAACAACUGUAAACUUAGUACCAUAUGAUUAUGCCUGUGUUUCCUAUGAGCAAAAGUGGUGGAUAGGAGUCAUUGAAGAUAUUAAUUUAGAAGAAAAAGAUGUGCUUGUAAAAUUUAUGUGUCCUAAUG